rnacentral:lncRNA from 10 species
CCGCGGCUGCUAAAACUGGUGCGCGGGUUCCCAACUUCGCAGAAGAGCUUCAUCGGCCCCCCGCUAGAGACCUCAGACCGCAGCCAUCGACGCCUCGCCUCGGGGAUCUGUCCCCACCCUCGGGGCCAGCUCCUUCGGUAGUCACUUCGUACAUAGUGAUUCAUGAUGCGAAAUCCUCUCUGUUGAAAUAACUGACGAGGCCUCUGUCUUCUGACUGGACCCUGACUUCCAUGCCCUUUCCACUCUCACUCCAGUACAUGCCCAAACCCCAAUCUUUGUUGCUCCAGGCAUUGCCUCUGUGGCGCUGUGUCCCCUCCUUUGAACUCUGAUCCUUCUGCUCAGGCCCUUUCUCCCAGUCUGAAGUAAGGAGUGAAAAAAUGUGAAUUGUUCUACUCAUCUGGAAAAGAGAACCCUGAGGCAGGAACAAGU